rnacentral:rRNA from 1 species
UGCGGGGUGGAUCAGUGGCGAACGGGUGAGUAACACGUGAGCAACCUGCCCCUGACUCUGGGAUAAGCGCUGGAAACGGCGUCUAAUACUGGAUACGAGACGUGAUCGCAUGGUCAACGUUUGGAAAGAUUUUUCGGUUGGGGAUGGGCUCGCGGCCUAUCAGCUUGUUGGUGAGGUAAUGGCUCACCAAGGCGUCGACGGGUAGCCGGCCUGAGAGGGUGACCGGCCACACUGGGACUGAGACACGGCCCAGACUCCUACGGGAGGCAGCAGUGGGGAAUAUUGCACAAUGGGCGCAAGCCUGAUGCAGCAACGCCGCGUGAGGGAUGACGGCCUUCGGGUUGUAAACCUCUUUUAGCAGGGAAGAAGCGAGAGUGACGGUACCUGCAGAAAAAGCACCGGCUAACUACGUGCCAGCAGCCGCGGUAAUACGUAGGGUGCAAGCGUUAUCCGGAAUUAUUGGGCGUAAAGAGCUCGUAGGCGGUUUGUCGCGUCUGCUGUGAAAUCUGGGGGCUCAACCCCCAGCCUGCAGUGGGUACGGGCAGACUAGAGUGCGGUAGGGGAGAUUGGAAUUCCUGGUGUAGCGGUGGAAUGCGCAGAUAUCAGGAGGAACACCGAUGGCGAAGGCAGAUCUCUGGGCCGUAACUGACGCUGAGGAGCGAAAGGGUGGGGAGCAAACAGGCUUAGAUACCCUGGUAGUCCACCCCGUAAACGUUGGGAACUAGUUGUGGGGUCCAUUCCACGGAUUCCGUGACGCAGCUAACGCAUUAAGUUCCCCGCCUGGGGAGUACGGCCGCAAGGCUAAAACUCAAAGGAAUUGACGGGGACCCGCACAAGCGGCGGAGCAUGCGGAUUAAUUCGAUGCAACGCGAAGAACCUUACCAAGGCUUGACAUAUACGAGAACGGGCCAGAAAUGGUCAACUCUUUGGACACUCGUAAACAGGUGGUGCAUGGUUGUCGUCAGCUCGUGUCGUGAGAUGUUGGGUUAAGUCCCGCAACGAGCGCAACCCUCGUUCUAUGUUGCCAGCACGUAAUGGUGGGAACUCAUGGGAUACUGCCGGGGUCAACUCGGAGGAAGGUGGGGAUGACGUCAAAUCAUCAUGCCCCUUAUGUCUUGGGCUUCACGCAUGCUACAAUGGCCGGUACAAUGGGCUGCAAUACCGUGAGGUGGAGCGAAUCCCAAAAAGCCGGUCCCAGUUCGGAUUGAGGUCUGCAACUCGACCUCAUGAAGUCGGAGUCGCUAGUAAUCGCAGAUCAGCAACGCUGCGGUGAAUACGUUCCCGGGUCUUGUACACACCGCCCGUCAAGUCAUGAAAGUCGGUAACACCUG